AGGGUUCGAUUCUGGCUCAGGAUGAACGCUGGCGGCGUGCUUAACACAUGCAAGUCGAACGGGAUCCAUCAGGCUUUGCUUGGUGGUGAGAGUGGCGAACGGGUGAGUAAUGCGUGACCGACCUGCCCCAUACACCGGAAUAGCUCCUGGAAACGGGUGGUAAUGCCGGAUGCUCCAGUUGAUCGCAUGGUCUUCUGGGAAAGCUUUCGCGGUAUGGGAUGGGGUCGCGUCCUAUCAGCUUGACGGCGGGGUAACGGCCCACCGUGGCUUCGACGGGUAGCCGGCCUGAGAGGGCGACCGGCCACAUUGGGACUGAGAUACGGCCCAGACUCCUACGGGAGGCAGCAGUGGGGAAUAUUGCACAAUGGGCGCAAGCCUGAUGCAGCGACGCCGCGUGAGGGAUGGAGGCCUUCGGGUUGUAAACCUCUUUUAUCGGGGAGCAAGCGAGAGUGAGUUUACCCGUUGAAUAAGCACCGGCUAACUACGUGCCAGCAGCCGCGGUAAUACGUAGGGUGCAAGCGUUAUCCGGAAUUAUUGGGCGUAAAGGGCUCGUAGGCGGUUCGUCGCGUCCGGUGUGAAAGUCCAUCGCUUAACGGUGGAUCUGCGCCGGGUACGGGCGGGCUGGAGUGCGGUAGGGGAGACUGGAAUUCCCGGUGUAACGGUGGAAUGUGUAGAUAUCGGGAAGAACACCAAUGGCGAAGGCAGGUCUCUGGGCCGUUACUGACGCUGAGGAGCGAAAGCGUGGGGAGCGAACAGGAUUAGAUACCCUGGUAGUCCACGCCGUAAACGGUGGAUGCUGGAUGUGGGGCCCGUUCCACGGGUUCCGUGUCGGAGCUAACGCGUUAAGCAUCCCGCCUGGGGAGUACGGCCGCAAGGCUAAAACUCAAAGAAAUUGACGGGGGCCCGCACAAGCGGCGGAGCAUGCGGAUUAAUUCGAUGCAACGCGAAGAACCUUACCUGGGCUUGACAUGUUCCCGACG
rnacentral:rRNA from 1 species